rnacentral:rRNA from 1 species
CCCUGACCUCGGAUCAGAUGUGAAUACC